UACGUAGGGUGCGAGCGUUAAUCGGAAUUACUGGGCGUAAAGCGUGCGCAGGCGGUUUGUUAAGACAGAUGUGAAAUCCCCGGGCUUAACCUGGGAACUGCAUUUGUGACUGGCAAGCUAGAGUAUGGCAGAGGGGGGUAGAAUUCCACGUGUAGCAGUGAAAUGCGUAGAGAUGUGGAGGAAUACCGAUGGCGAAGGCAGCCUCCUGGGCCAACACUGACGCUCAUGCACGAAAGCGUGGGGAGCAAACGGG
rnacentral:rRNA from 1 species